CCUACGGGAGGCAGCAGUGGGGAAUAUUGCACAAUGGGGGAAACCCUGAUGCAGCGACGCCGCGUGAGUGAAGAAGUAAUUCGUUACGUAAAGCUCUAUCAGCAGGGGAGAAACACUGACCUUACGGUCAGCAGACGGUACCUGAGUAAGAAGCCCCGGCUAACUACGUGCCAGCAGCCGCGGUAAUACGUAGGGGGCAAGCGUUAUCCGGAUUUACUGGGUGUAAAGGGAGCGUAGACGGUGCGCCAAGGCUGGAGUGAAAUGCCGCAGCUUAACUGCGGAACUGCUUUGGAAACUGGCGAACUAGAGUGCGGGAGGGGGAAGCGGAAUUCCUAGUGUAGCGGUGAAAUGCGUAGAUAUUAGGAGGAACACCGGUGGCGAAGGCGGCUUACUGGACCGUAACUGACGUUGAGGCUCGAAAGCGUGGGGAGCAAACAGGAUUAGAUACCCCUGUAGUC
rnacentral:rRNA from 1 species